UGACGAGUACAGGACAGUUUCCAGUUAAGUCAAGUGAUUUAAUGCACAGAAUAUCGCCUGGAGGGCUGGGAGAGUUUAUGGCGUAGUUGCCAAUUUAGAGGUUACGAGUGACAAGUCGUCCAAUCCACAAAAUAUCCCCCCUAGGGGGUAUGUUCUGUGGCCUAAUCGAUGUAAUYGAUAGCAUUGAUGUAAACAACUUUAGUGCCGGCAUUGUUUCUUGCUUUCUACAAGUGUUUUAUGAAAUUUAUUAAAAAAUGAGUUAAAUUCUUCAACGUUGCUGUGUAGGUGAGUGCGAUGAUACAUCUUCAAAGCGGUGUGCACUUCCUAGAAAUGAAAAGUUGAGAAGGAUUUCGAUCAGGGUUACAGGUGUUCCCACUGUUCAUUAAACAUCUCUUAAUAAUCGGUCACCAAUAAUAGUAAGGACACAAACGUUCAAAACAAGUAGCAGGGACGCAAACACGCAAGCAGAUUUAAAACGCAGCUGUGCCUUUGCGUCCAUAGAUGGCAGCAGGUUAGCGCGGGUCCAACAAAAUGCGACUAUUUUUAGUGUCAAUUGUUUAAAUUUGGACAGGAACGUUGUUGAGACGGUUUUUUCAUCGGAACGAUCUGGCACCAUUGUACAGGGUGGCCGGGUUGUCACGAAAGUCAAAUUGUUACUUUUCUGGGUUCUCCAGAAUCUUCCGACGGCGACGACGAUGGAAUAUUCGCAAUGUUUCGCGAGUUUUACAGCCAAUACUUUCCAAAUUGACCAAUAAAGAACAUUUUACUGCAUC